rnacentral:rRNA from 1 species
UACGUAGGCAGCGAGCGUUGUUCGGAGUUACUGGGCGUAAAGAGUGCGUAGGCGGUUUUCUAAGUUUGGUGCGAAAUCUCCCGGCUUAACUGGGAGGGUGCGCCGAAGACUGGAAGGCUUGAGUAUGGGAGAGGUAAGCGGAAUUCCUGGUGUAGCGGUGAAAUGCGUAGAUAUCAGGAGGAACACCUGCGGUGUAGACGGCUUACUGGACCAUAACUGACGCUGAGGCACGAAAGCGUGGGUAGCAAACAGG